CUUUUCUUGUUAUAGGGGAUACCUGGUUCUACUGGACCUCCAGGUCAAAAAGGAGAACUGGGAGUCCGAGGUCGACAGGGCCAACGUGGAAAUCCGGGGCUUGAUGGAAUAACUGGAGACAAUGGUCGAACAGGGAGCACUGGUCAAUCUGGGAAUUCUGGAAAACAAGGUGUGGGAGGAAUAGGUGGACCCCGUGGAAUAAUGGGGAUAGAUGGCAAGCAUGGAUUUGGUUCCUCUGGACCAAAAGGCAGAGAGGGAGGACAAGGAAGCUCUGGAUAUCUUAGUUCGCAGG